rnacentral:rRNA from 1 species
CAUAGGGUUUCCGUUAGUAACGGCGAGUGAACCGGGAUGAGCUCAAAUUUAAAAUCUGGCGUCUUUCAGGCGUCCGAGUUGUAAUCUAUAGAGGCGUUUUCCGCGCCGGACCGCGUCCAAGUCUCUUGGAAUAGAGUAUCAAAGAGGGUGACAAUCCCGUACUUGACGCGACAACCGGUGCUCUGUGAUACGUUCUCAAUGAGUCGAGUUGUUUGGGAAUGCAGCUCUAAAUGGGUGGUAAAUUCCAUCUAAGGCUAAAUAUUGGCGAGAGACCGAUAGCGAACAAGUACCGUGAGGGAAAGAUGAAAAGCACUUUGGAAAGAGAGUUAAACAGCACGUGAAAUUGUUAAAAGGGAAACGAUUGAAGUCAGUCGUGUGAAAGGUAUUCAGCCGUCUCUGGCGGUGUAUUUGCCUUUCACGGGUCAACAUCAGUUUGAUCCGGUAGAAAAAGGCAGGAGGAAGGUGGCACCCUCGGGUGUGUUAUAGCCUCUUGUCAUAUGUGCCGGACCAGACUGAGGAACGCAGCUUGCCGCAAGGCCGGGGUUCGCCCACGUACAAGCUUAGGAUGUUGACAUAAUGGCUUUAAACGACCCGUCUUGAAACACCGGACCAAAAA